rnacentral:misc_RNA from 1 species
AACGCACCUUGCGCUCCUUGGUACUCCGAGGAGCAUGCCUGUUUGAGUGUCAUGAAAUUCUCAACCUUUCAAAGCUUUUGGCUAGUUAGGCUUGGACUCUGGAAGCUUGCUGGUUCUAGCAACUCAGCUCUUCUUAAAUGCAUUAGCAAGAUUAACCACUUGAAUCAUCUUUGAUAUGAUAACUAUCUACAUCACUAAUGAACAAGUGUUUUUCUUUUUCAAAGAAAAGAUCUUUGCUUCUAAUUUAUCAAUUAUUUUGAUAUUUGAAUCAUUUGACCUCAAAUCAGGUAGGACUACCCGCUGAACUUAA